rnacentral:tRNA from 1 species
GGAGAGGUGCGAGAGUGGUUGAAUCGGGCGGUCUCGAAAACCGUUGUGCCUUCUGGGUACCGUGGGUUCGAAUCCCACCCUCUCCGCCA